rnacentral:lncRNA from 1 species
GCUUUCUGGGCAAGGUCUCAUCGCAGAUCAUCUUCAAGUUCCAGUUCUCAGUGUUAAAGCUGCCAUACAUUUGGCACUCAGUAUGUGUCUGCUGAACAAAAUGAAAUGACUAACAAUGCAGCGGAAACUUCACCGCAAUAGCUGUUACCCUCAGAAGAAAUAGUGCACGAGCGAAGCCAAGAGGGUUUGUUGUUGUUGUUUUGUUGUUUUUCAAUGUAGCUUUGAAAAAAAGGACCCAAGACAAAUAAGAAAACUGGGACAUAAAGCCAAGGGAAUCAGCAAGUGGACUACCUUCACACAUCAGACAUUUCAAGGCAGAGCAAAGCUCACUCUGAC